CCUUUGACGUUAGCGCGGACGGGUGAGUAACACGUGGGUAACCUACCUAUAAGACUGGGAUAACUUCGGGAAACCGGAGCUAAUACCGGAUAACAUUUGGAACCGCAUGGUUCUAAAGUGAAAGAUGGUUUUGCUAUCACUUAUAGAUGGACCCGCGCCGUAUUAGCUAGUUGGUAAGGUAACGGCUUACCAAGGCGACGAUACGUAGCCGACCUGAGAGGGUGAUCGGCCACACUGGAACUGAGACACGGUCCAG
rnacentral:rRNA from 1 species